AUUGACUGAGUGGCGGACGGGUGAGUAACGCGUGGAUAACCUGCCUCACACUGGGGGAUAACAGUUAGAAAUGACUGCUAAUACCGCAUAAGCGCACAGUGCCGCAUGGUACGGUGUGAAAAACUCCGGUGGUGUGAGAUGGAUCCGCGUCUGAUUAGCCAGUUGGCGGGGUAACGGCCCACCAAAGCGACGAUCAGUAGCCGACCUGAGAGGGUGACCGGCCACAUUGGGACUGAGACACGGACCAGACUCCUACGGGAGGCAGCAGUGGGGAAUAUUGCACAAUGGGCGAAAGCCUGAUGCAGCGACGCCGCGUGAGUGAAGAAGUAUUUCGGUAUGUAAAGCUCUAUCAGCAGGGAAGGUUAUGACGGUACCUGACUAAGAAGCCCCGGCUAACUACGUGCCAGCAGCCGCGGUAAUACGUAGGGGGCAAGCGUUAUCCGGAUUUACUGGGUGUAAAGGGAGCGUAGACGGCGAAGCAAGUCUGAAGUGAAAACCCAGGGCUCAACCCUGGGACUGCUUUGGAAACUGUUUUGCUAGAGUGUCGGAGAGGUAAGUGGAAUUCCUAGUGUAGCGGUGAAAUGCGUAGAUAUUAGGAGGACACCAGUGGCGAAGGCGGCUUACUGGACGA
rnacentral:rRNA from 1 species